UUCUUCCUGGUGCAUCACAUCAUCGGUAACAUUAGUGGCUUCAGAAUAUUCUGCUGAGUGGAUAUAUCACAGUUCCCUUAAUCAGUUCCAAAUGGUUACAUAUUCAGGGAUGUCUUGGUUCUCUUUCAAUGGCGGAGACAGCAUAUGUGUUUGUGCAUUACUUGAAGAUCUUCCACUCUACCAGAUGAAACUGGGAAAGGACAAUGUACCAAAGAGUAUCCAAGCACAGAAGGGAAUCUCAGUUUGAAGUUAGAAUUGAAUCCAAGAGGAAGAGAAGCAUCCUUCCUUCAGUGCCUUUGUGGUGGUGCUUGGUGAGAGAUAGUGGUGAAGGCAUUGCCUAAAGAGAGAGGCACUAACAGGCAGAGGAGUGGUUGAGACCAGUAAGAACUGCCCUGCCUGGUGGAGCAGAGGCAGAAGCUGAUGCCCAGGCUCUGCAGCAUCUAUAGGGAACUUGGUGCCUGCAGUGCUCAUCAAAUGAUCCAGAGGCCUCCUUGAACACUGCAAAACCCAGAAGAAAUUACCAUGCCAACGGAGCAGAACCAGAUCCUUUGGGGAAACACAGCGCUGGUGGAAGAACUAUAGCUCCAGCCACAGCUGAACUACAUUUUCUAGCAAUCCUCAGAAUAAGAUGUGGUCAUUGACUGAAUUCUGGACAAUGGAAUGGAGUAGAGUGAAAUACAUCACUCCUAGGUUUGGCCUGUCAAAUCUCAUGCACAAUUCUGUACAUUCAUGUGCCAGCCUCUCCUCGGGUGGGGACUCCAAGCACUUUGGAGUUGGUGGAGCCACAAGAUGGAUCUGAGAUCUUUGCUAAGGUAGGGUUUCCCUGGCUGGCCUAUAGCUGACUGUGACAUAAGAGAGAAAUAAAUUUUGAUUUUCUUAAGCUCC
rnacentral:lncRNA from 1 species